rnacentral:rRNA from 1 species
GACGAACGCUGGCGGCGUGCUUAACACAUGCAAGUCGAACGGAAAGGCCCGGCUUUUGUGGGGUGCUCGAGUGGCGAACGGGUGAGUAACACGUGAGUAACCUGCCCUUGACUUUGGGAUAACUUCAGGAAACUGGGGCUAAUACCGGAUAGGAGCUCCUGCUGCAUGGUGGGGGUUGGAAAGUUUCGGCGGUUGGGGAUGGACUCGCGGCUUAUCAGCUUGUUGGUGGGGUAGUGGCUUACCAAGGCUUUGACGGGUAGCCGGCCUGAGAGGGUGACCGGCGACAUUGGGACUGAGAUACGGCCCAGAAUCCUACGGGCGGCAGCAGUGGGGAAUAUUGCACAAUGGGCGGAAGCCUGAUGCAGCAACGCCGCGUGCGGGAUGACGGCCUUCGGGUUGUAAACCGCUUUCGCCUGUGACGAAGCGUGAGUGACGGUAAUGGGUAAAGAAGCACCGGCUAACUACGUG